ensembl:lncRNA
AUUUUUUUUUUUUUUUUUUCUUUGCCGAUGUCCACAACAAACGUUCAAAAGUGUCCGGAAACUUAAAAUCUCAUUCACCAUCAGUUUUCCACCAUCAUGCAGUCUCUUGAGAUACGGUUGAAUGUUGCCUUCUGUCUUGACAGCAAAAGACCUCGUGAGAUAUGGCUCAAGUGGAAAUAGUGCAUCUUGAAUGUGCAGCUCUCCUCAGCUGUCCAGGGCCUUUGGAAGAAAAACAGCCAUGCAACAUCAAAGACACACCAUACUUCACAGUGAGGAAGAGGUACUUUUCUGCAUGACUGUCCUUCUGUUUACACCAAACCAACCUCUUGUAGUUUCUUUUUAUUAUUUUUUAUAGUGUAUAACAAACCUCACCAGGACCGCUACUAAGUGGCUGUUCUGGAAAUUGUGUUUAUAAAAUGUAUUAAUAAUACUGUGAAAAAUGAUACAGAAGGUUAAAUUGGGGAUUUGAUUUAUUCCUGAGAAGAGAGUAGAAGGAAAAUAGAAGCAAAUGAAGAAAAACAAAGAGCUGCCUUUUUAUAAAUACUUAAAACUGACUACGUCUGCAGUUUAGAAGCAUUAGGGACACUAGUAUCUUGCAAUCAUGCACUUGUAAUCUGCAAGAUUGCAACAGUACCAACAAUGUCCACUAGAUGACCAUAUAAUCAUUGAAAAUACCAGGGUAAAUAUACAGUAGGACUGAACCCAGGAUAUCAGAGCCCCCUUUUUAUUUGGUUUAUUAUUUGUGUUUAUUAUCUCUGCGGCCUGAAGCCACAUCCACAGCAAUAGUUAAACAAGUCUCGAAAGAAACCUAAUGAGAAACCAG